rnacentral:tRNA from 14 species
GGAGUUUAGCUCAGUUGGUUCAGAGCAUCUGCCUUACAAGCAGAGGG